ACACAGUGUACCUUCAUAGCCAACCCAUUUACAUAUCACUACUCCCAUUUUUUCCUUUAGAGAAUGGUUCUCAUAUCUGGAAAGUGAACAGUUGACCUACCGUCUACCGGCCCUGUAGAACUGUAAUAGUUGGCUUGGGAUGGGAAUUGCCGCGCUUCCGUUCUCCAAGAUUAACACAACAGAUGACAUGAGUGGCCUGUCGUUGGGGUUGUCCUGCACACACAAGAGCCCUAUCUGAACGCAAAGCAAAGCUUCAUCUGACUUGGGUAAAACAUAUACCAGUUUGCUCAUACCAUAUUGGAUUUGGAUACUGAAGGUGUUAGGAUCUGUGCAUCAGCUGAGCACUUCAGGGAACUGAAGUUCAUGCGACCCUCAUCUAAUGCACCAGAUUUAUUCUCCAACUGUUACUACUCCAUUUACUGUUUAUAUUGUUAUGCUGAUGUGCAGAUGGUUUAGAUCUACAUACAGAGAAUUAUCGCCGGGUAGUGAAGUUCUGUUUCUGAAUUCUGAUCUGACUAGGGACAUGUUAAGUUCUUUUGCCCAUAUCUAUACCUAAUAAUAAAGGGAGAAGUGUUUCCGCGGUUUGGUCCGUCCUAUUUUCGUCGUUCGUCUAACUUUUCGUCCGUCGCCCGUGUUUUCAGUCGUUAAUUUUCGUUUCCUAGCCGCGUGAGAAUUUGUUACGGAUACGAUCGAUCCGGUCUGUGUCGUAAUCGUAAUACGAAGCGUCCUGGACGCCCACGUCUAGGCGUGAACCGGCCAUCCCAGCAAACCCACGCAACCACGCCUCCUCAACGAUCGGGAUUCAGGAGCAUCCUGAUCUGCUUCCUAUUAUUCCGCCGUGCUUUGGGACUUAGAGGCCCACCCGUGCUUCGAUACAAGUCUGUCGUCUCAACUCUUCCCCGUCCCAAUUGUCUAUCACCCCACCGGCCACCACCCGUCCCUGAUCUCUAAAUCUCCAAUAUAUGUGGAACCUGUGCUGCAAAACAGUGCGCGCAACAUUGGUACGAUCCGAAAAAAACGCGCCUGAUGCAAAGAAGAGGCCCCAUCGGUUAAUCACCCCGGGCAUAACCACCGCUUUUUAUGUUUCUCUCAAGGCAAUGGAAGCGACGUCGCCGGCAGCCGUCGAGAGUAGGGGAACAACGGCAGCAGCCAUCGGGAGUAAGCACGGACAUGCAGCGGCGGCGGCCAUGGGAGUAGCCACGGUCUUGCAAUGGCGGCAAUCAGGAGUAAGGACAGGCAUGCAUCGGCGGCGCGGCCUGGCAAUCGUCGUCGGCGGCCUCAUAGCUUGCCUCGGCGGUGUGGUGUCAGGAUGUCCUGAAGUCGAAGCUACAUCGCGAGCAAAGUCGAAGAUAAUUAACUCGGCUGCCCUGAAGUCGAAGCUACAUCUCGAGCAAAGUCGAGUUGUCCUUUGUAUGUGGCUUAACGUCUGCCUCCUUCAGGUCCUCGACGGAAAGAACUUAUCCGGCAUUAUAAUCGAUGAAUCCAUCUGCUUCUAGCAGUUUUCCAUCUGCCUGUAGGUCCUCAUCGAGCUCUCUCUGGCAACCUAUCCCCAUGGCCAGUCGUUGCGUCAAAGCAGGAGCGAUCUACCCUGGAACGAUCUUGAUGGAGCGUGAGAGAUAAACGAACGAGCGGCAAAAAGAUAUGGAGUGCUUCCCCUUGCCGAUAUCUGCUCCGGUUCUUCAAUUAUUUUUUCCUCUGCCGCGGAGGCUGCACCCAUGCCAGCGAGCUUGGGGUCGCCAGAACCUGGACAGCUUGGGGUUGACGGGCGAACAUGCCGUCACAUGAACCACGUGAUGUAUUUCUACGGACUCCACCUGUUCCCCGCUGCCGCCCGUGCGCUGGAUGGGAGCCAGACUGUCCGCCGCCGAUUGAGCGCGAGGUGGACGGGAUCAGCCGCUGUCUAGAUUUGGCUCAGGUUCUUUAUCAACUACGUCUCUGUGAUGAUCCACAUAAGCUGCUAUCAAUCGAAUCGAUCAGUACUCUGCUUGACACCUUCUUCAGCAGUCAGGUGCAUCUCAAGUAUUUAUCGAAAAAACAGGUGUAUCUUAAGAUUAGGACUGCUGGGUAUGGUUGAAGAUCAGAAAAUUCGCUUUGCAGUAUCUUCUCAAAUUGCACACACAAAUUUCAUUACGGUGGUUCAUGUGCGAUGCAGAUCAAUUGCUGCAAUAUUAUCUGGUGGUGCACAUACAGCAGAGCCGGUCGCUAUCUCAUUUUGGAAUGCUCUUACUUAAUUUAACUUUUGUUUUCUGCUCUUCACUUUGUUAAUUUUCUGUUGGGAAAUGAUUACUAGAUGACCAAGAUCUACAAUGAUAGUGCCACUUCCUUUUGCCAGGAAACCUUGCGUUGAAGUUGAAGGAGACAACGUAUAAGAAACACAUGCAAGUGAAACUCUCGCGGACAUCAUUGGCGCCUUGGCGGCAAUGUCAGCUCUACAAGACUAUCAUGGUGGCUUGAGAGAAGCAGAAACAGGCUGAUACUCUGUAUUUCAGGUUUUAUUGGUCCUUGGGUCCUUCCUGUUUCUAAUUACAGGUGACACACAUCUACUAGGGAAAUAUUGGUGCUACGUACCUGAAUCAACCAAACCAGCAAUCCGAAGAUGCAAAGUCUCGCUACCAGC